UAAUCUGCAUGUAAAAAAUACUUAUCUUGUGAAAAAUUCAAACUUAAUUAUUUAGAAUAACCAUUUAUCUCAAGUCUGGCUAUAUCAAUAUGACUCUCAGGAAAAUUUAUUUUCCUUCGA
rfam:Populus trichocarpa scaffold_15_contig_158, whole genome shotgun sequence.